rnacentral:rRNA from 1 species
CGGGGGGUGCAAGCGUUAAUCGGAAUUACUGGGCGUAAAGGGUGCGUAGGUGGUUGAAUAAGUUAGCUGUAAAAUCCCCGGGCUUAACCUGGGCAGGUCAGCUAAGACUGUUUGACUCGAGUAUGGGAGAGGGUAGUGGAAUUUCCGGUGUAGCGGUGAAAUGCGUAGAGAUCGGAAGGAACACCAGUGGCGAAGGCGGCUACCUGGCCUAAUACUGACACUGAGGCACGAAAGCGUGGGGAGCAAACAGGAUUAGAUACCCUGGUAGUCCACGCCGUAAACGAUGUCAACUAGCCGUUGGUCAUAUUAAAAUGAUUAGUGGCGCAGCAAACGCGAUAAGUUGACCGCCUGGGGAGUACGGUCGCAAGAUUA